CCCUUAGAUGUUCUGGGCUGCACGCGCGCUACACUGAAGCGUUCAACGAGUAUUCACCUUGCCCGGGAGGGUUGGGUAAUCUUUGAACGCUGUUCGUGAUUGGGAUAGACCUUUGCAAUUAUGGGUCUUCAACGAGGAAUUCCUAGUAAACGCAAGUCAUCAGCUUGCAUUGAUUACGUCCCUGCCCUUUGUACACACCGCCCGUCGCACCUACCGAUUGAAUGGUCCGGUGAAAUCUCGGGACGGCGGCUUGGUCGCUUGCGUCCGACUGCUGAAACUUGAUUAAACCAUAUCAUUUAGAGGAAGGUGAAGUCGUAACA
rnacentral:rRNA from 1 species